rnacentral:lncRNA from 1 species
AUAGUCUCCAGACAGUGAUGGUUUGUGUAUAAAGGGGGCUGUAGGAUGAGAUCCUGAGAGAGCCUAGAGCACUUGCCUCUUAGCAAGGCACUAGGCUCUACCCACUACCCCAUCCGACCCCAAUUUUUAAAACAGAAGAAAAAAAAAAAAAAAAAAAAACCAGGAUCUUUCAUUUCUGCACCUUGUCUGCGUUUCUGUGUAUGCUUCCUGAAACCAUCCAUACACAGGAAACUGAGAGCAGUGUUUGGGACAGAGAACCAGGAGACCAAAGGACAGAAAAGCAUCUCGCUGCACGGCAGUGAAGGUGGGAACUGUGUCCGCGUCUGCGGGCUGGGAGUUCGAGCCCACCAGCCUUCCGGGCUGGUGGCCAGGCCUAAGCUGUCAAGCCGCCAUCCAUCCCGCGAGCUCGGACCCCGAGCCCGGCUCCCGCCCCGGCCCGCGCUCACCGCCAAUGAUGGUCCGGAUGAGGGAGGCGUGCCCGGGGCAGUCGACCAGUGUGACCUGCAGCAGCGUGUCGCUAGUCCCGGGUUCUGCCCCCGGCAGCGGCACGACAAAACAGGAGAAGCCCAGGUCGAGCGUUAUGCCGCGCUCGCGGCUCUGCGGCUGCUUGUCGAAGGCAGCGGUGGAGGCCGUGGUGCUCAGCGCGCGCGCUAGCGCUGUUUUGCCGCUGUCGAUGUGACCCAGCACGCCCACAUUCACAUUUACCCGCCGGCCGGCCAUCCCGCCGCUGCCUCUCACGCCGUCGCCUGAGCGC